rnacentral:rRNA from 1 species
UAAUUAUGUAAAUAUUUAAACUAGAUUAGUAUUAGUUAUGUUCUUGAAAAUUAAAGAUUUUGGCGGUAUUUUAGUCUAUUCAGAGGAACCUGUCCUGUCAUUGAUAAUCCACGAUUAAAUUUACUUAUAUUAAUUAGUUUGUAUAUCGUCGUAAUAGAAUAUUUUAAAAGAAUAAAAUAUUCGAGAUUUUAAAUUUAAAAAUAAAUCAGAUCAAGGUGCAGCUUAUAUAUAAGAAGAGAUGGGUUACAUUAAAUUAUAUUUAUGGAUUUAAAUUUAAAAAAUUUAAUUAAAAUGGAUUUGAUAGUAAUUUUUUAUAUAUUUUAAAAAUGAUUUAAGCUCUAAAAUAUGC